rnacentral:rRNA from 1 species
UCAAAAACAUUGCUUUAUGUUUAUUUAUAUAAAGUAAUUCCUGCCCAGUGAUUAUUAAACGGCCGCGGUAUCCUAACCGUGCAAAGGUAGCAUAAUAAUUUGCCUUAUAAUUUAAGGCUAGAAUGAAUGGAUUUACAAGAAAAUCCCUGUCUCCAUAAAUUUUUAUAAAAUUUAGAAUAUAGGUGAAGAUUCCUAUAUAUUUAUAGAGGACAAAAAGACCCUACUAAGCUUAUCCUAAAUAAUUAUUUUAAUAUUAUAUAAAAACAAUAAAUUACAAGGAUUUGUUGGGGCGACAAAGGAAUAAUUUAUCUUCCUUAAAUAAAAAGAUUUUUUAUCUAUAUAAAGAUCAAUAUAUUCUAUAAGUAAAGCUACUUUAGGGAUAACAGGCUAAUUUCUUUAUAGAGUUCAUAUUGACAAAGAAGAUUGGCACCUCGAUGUUGGCUUAGGGAGCUUUUUGCCGCAACCGGUAAAAAAGCUGGUUUGUUCAACCAUUAAUUCCCUACGUGAUCUGA